UACGUAGGGGGCAAGCGUUGUCCGGAAUCAUUGGGCGUAAAGAGCGUGUAGGCGGUCCGGUAAGUCCGCCGUGAAAGUCCAGGGCUCAACCCUGGAAUGCCGGUGGAAACUGUCGGGCUGGAGUCCGGAAGAGGCGAGUGGAAUUCCUGGUGUAGCGGUGAAAUGCGCAGAUAUCAGGAGGAACACCAAUGGCGAAGGCAGCUCGCUGGGACGGUACUGACGCUGAGACGCGAAAGCGUGGGGAGCGAACAGG
rnacentral:rRNA from 1 species